AUUGAACGCUGGCGGCAGGCCUAACACAUGCAAGUCGAACGAGUGGCGGACGGGUGAGUAAUGCUUGGGAAUCUGGCUUAUGGAGGGGGCUAACGACGGGAAACUGUCGCUAAUACCGCGUACCAUACGAUGAGCCCAAGUGGGAUUAGGUUGUUGGUGGGGUAAAGGCCCACCAAGCCGACGAUCCCUAGCUGGUCUGCGAGGAUGACCGGCCACACCGGGACUGAGACACGGCCCGGACUCCUACGGGAGGCAGCAGUGGGGAAUAUUGCGCAAUGGGGGCAAGCCUGACACAGCCAUGCCGCGUGAAUGAAGAAGGCCUUCGGGUUGUAAAGUUCUUUCGGUAGUGAGGCGUUAAAUACAGAAGAAGCACCGGCUAACUCCGUGCCAGCCGCCGCGGUAAUAC
rnacentral:rRNA from 1 species